GAUAGUAGAUCGACUGCCGCCAGGCGGGACCUCCGGCCUUGGUGAGGAUCGGCGC
rnacentral:sRNA from 1 species